ACGGAGGGUGCAAGCGUUAAUCGGAAUCACUGGGCGUAAAGCGCAUGUAGGCUGUCUUGUAAGUCGGGCGUGAAAUCCCACGGCUCAACCGUGGAACUGCGUUCGAUACUGCAUGACUUGAGUGCAGGAGAGGGUGGCGGAAUUCCCGGUGUAGGAGUGAAAUCCGUAGAUAUCGGGAGGAACACCAGUGGCGAAGGCGGCCACCUGGACUGUAACUGACGCUGAGAUGCGAAAGUGCGGGUAGCAAACAG
rnacentral:rRNA from 1 species